AUUGAACGCUGGCGGCAUGCCUUACACAUGCAAGUCGAACGGCAGCGCGGGGCAACCUGGCGGCGAGUGGCGAACGGGUGAGUAAUAUAUCGGAACGUACCCUGGAGUGGGGGAUAACGUAGCGAAAGUUACGCUAAUACCGCAUACGAUCUAAGGAUGAAAGUGGGGGAUCGCAAGACCUCAUGCUCCUGGAGCGGCCGAUAUCUGAUUAGCUAGUUGGUGAGGUAAAGGCUCACCAAGGCGACGAUCAGUAGCUGGUCUGAGAGGACGAUCAGCCACACUGGAACUGAGACACGGUCCAGACUCCUACGGGAGGCAGCAGUGGGGAAUUUUGGACAAUGGGCGCAAGCCUGAUCCAGCAAUGCCGCGUGGG
rnacentral:rRNA from 1 species